rnacentral:rRNA from 1 species
ACUGCUCAGUAACACGUGGACAACCUGCCCUUAGGUUGGGUAUAAACCCGGGAAACUGGGUAUAAUACCCGAUAGGUCUCGAUUGCUGGAAUGCAUCGAGAUUUAAAGCUCCGGCGCUUAAGGAUGGGUCUGCGGCCUAUCAGGUAGUAGUGGGUGUAGCGUACCUACUAGCCUACGACGGGUACGGGUUGUGAGAGCAAGAGCCCGGAGAUGGAUUCUGAGACACGAAUCCAGGCCCUACGGGGUGCAGCAGGCGCGAAAACUUUACAAUGCUGGCAACAGCGAUAAGGGAACCUCGAGUGCCAGGUUACAAAUCUGGCUGUCGAGAUGCCUAAAAAGCAUUUCAUAGCAAGGGCCGGGCAAGACCGGUGCCAGCCGCCGCGGUAACACCGGCGGCUCGAGUGGUAACCGUUAUUAUUGGGUCUAAAGGGUCUGUAGCCGGCCGGAUAAGUCUCUUGAGAAAUCUGGCAGCUUAACUGUCAGGCUUUCAGGAGAUACUGUCUGGCUCGGGGCCGGGAGAGGUGAGAGGUACUUCAGGGGUAGGGGUGAGAUCUUGUAAUCCUUGAAGGACCACCAGUGGCGAAGGCGUCUCACCAGAACGGACCUGACGGCAAGGGACGAAAGCUAGGGGCACGAACCGGAUUAGAUACCCGGGUAGUCCUAGCCGUAAACGAUACUCGCUAGGUGUCGGCCACGGUGCGACCGUUGUCGGUGCCGUAGGGAAGCCGUGAAGCGAGCCACCUGGGAAGUACGGCCGCAAGGCUGAAACUUAAAGGAAUUGGCGGGGGAGCACCACAACGGGUGGAGCUUGCGGUUUAAUUGGAUUCAACGCCGGAAAUCUUACCGGGACCGACAGCAAUAUGAAGGCCAGGCUGAAGACUUUGCCGGAUUAGCUGAGAGGUGGUGCAUGGCCGUCGUCAGUUCGUACUGUGAAGCAUCCUGUUAAGUCAGGCAACGAGCGAGACCCCUGCC